rnacentral:rRNA from 1 species
UACAGAGGUCUCAAGCGUUGUUCGGAUUCAUUGGGCGUAAAGGGUGCGUAGGCGGCGCGGUAAGUCGGGUGUGAAAUCUCGGAGCUUAACUCCGAAACUGCAUUCGAUACUGCCGUGCUUGAGGACUGGAGAGGAGACUGGAAUUUCGUGUGUAGGGGUGAAAUCCGUAGAUCUACGAAGGAACGCCAAAAGCGAAGGCAGCUCUCUGGGUCCCUACCGACGCUGGGGUGCGAAAGCAUGGGGAGCGAACAGG